GGUCCUAUAGUCUAGUGGUUAGGACGUUGGAUUUUGAUCACCAUUCAAAUUCUUCCGAAGUCCCCGGUUCGAACCCGGGUAGGACCU
rfam:Fusarium oxysporum f. sp. cubense race 4 unplaced genomic scaffold scaffold3, whole genome shotgun sequence.